rnacentral:tRNA from 1 species
GGCUCGUUUGGUCUAGGCGGUUGAUUUCUCCGCUUUGGGUGCGAGAGGCCCGGGUUCAAAUCCCGGACGAGCCC